rnacentral:rRNA from 1 species
UACGAAGGGGGCUAGCGUUGCUCGGAAUCACUGGGCGUAAAGCGCACGUAGGCGGCUUUCUAAGUCAGGGGUGAAAUCCCGGAGCUCAACUCCGGAACUGCCUUUGAAACUGCAGUGCUAGAAUCCUGGAGAGGCGAGUGGAAUUCCGAGUGUAGAGGUGAAAUUCGUAGAUAUUAGGAAGAACACCAGUGGCGAAGGCGGCUCACUGGCCCGGUACUGACGCUGAGGCGCGAAAGCGUGGGGAGCAAACAGG